rnacentral:lncRNA from 1 species
CAUGCAUGCUUAUCAUGUAAACUUAUAAUGUUAACAUUCAUAUGCCCUUUAUCUUAUGCAUUCAAAGCAUUAAUCACAUGCAUUUAUCUAGCAUUUCUAUAAUAUGUUAACAUGCAUUCUUUUCACAUUCUUACAUUAUGUCAAAUGCAUUCCUCUAGCAUUUCACAUUAUAUGUCAACAUGCAUCAAUAUGAAAUCUCAUUUCUUAGACAUAAAGGGCGACCUAGUCGCUUCGGUAAGCACAACCCACC